AUUUAUAUGCAGAUGACACGCAAAUCUACCUGUCCUCCCCUGAUCUCUCUCUGCCCACCUUGACUCGUGUUUCUGACUGCCUCUCUGCUAUUUCCAACUGGAUGGCUGCUCACUUCCUUAAACUCAACCUGUCCAAAACAGAACUUCUAGUUUUUCCUCCCUCAAGUGCUGCUACUCCUGUGUCUGUCUCCAUCCAAGUCAACGGCGCUACUAUCACCUCUACCUCCCAGGCUCGCUGCCUAGGGGUUCUUUUUGAUUCUGAUCUCUCUUUUACUCCCCAUGUUCAAUCGAUAACCAAAUCCUGUCGCUUCCAACUCAAGAACAUAGCGCGCAUCCGCCCAUAUCUAACGCCAGACGCGGCUAAGGUACUGGUUCAUGCUGUUGUUCUCUCUCGCCUUGACUAUUGCAAUCCCCUUCUCACCGGUCUUACAUGUUCCCAGCUUGCACCGCUGCAAUCUAUAAUGAAUACGGCUGCGAGGCUUAUUUUCCUGUCCGGUCGCACCUCCCACGCCUCCACGCUCUGUCAGUCCCUGCAUUGGCUUCCAGUUAGAUAUAGGGCCCAAUUCAAAAUUCUGGCGCUUGCUUACAAAUCCCUACAUAAUGCUGCUCCAACAUACCUAUCCUCCCUCAUACACAAGUAUGUCCCGUCGAGACCCCUG